GAUGAACGCUGGCGGCGCGCCUAACACAUGCAAGUCGAACGAUUAAAGCACCUUCGGGUGUGUAUAAAGUGGCGAACGGCUGAGUAACACGUGGGCAACCUGCCCCUUUCAUUGGGAUAGCCACGGGAAACCGUGGAUAAUACCGAAUACUUCGAGACUUCCGCAUGGAAGACUCGAGAAAGCUCCGGCGGAGAGGGAUGGGCCCGCGGCCUGUUAGCUUGUUGGUGGGGUAACGGCCUACCAAGGCAAUGAUGGGUAGCUGGGUUGAGAGGCCGACCAGCCAGAUUGGGACUGAGACACGGCCCAGACUCCUACGGGAGGCAGCAGUGGGGAAUCUUGCACAAUGGGCGAAAGCCUGAUGCAGCGACGCCGCGUGCGGGAUGAAGGCCUUCGGGUUGUAAACCGCCUUCAGCAGGGACGAGGCGAAAGUGACGGUACCUGCAGAAGAAGCCCCGGCUAACUACGUG
rnacentral:rRNA from 1 species